GGGGAUCGAGCCCACAACCCCGGCAUGUGCCCUUGACCGGAAUCGAACCUGGGACCCUUUGGUCUGCAGGCCAACGCUCUAUCCACUGAGCAAAACCGGCCAGGGCUCUUAUUUCCAAUGAACCCAUGAGGGAACGGUCUUGCGUGUAGCACCUCGUGUUUUGUGGUGAGCUCUUGGCCAAGUCAGUUCACUUCGUUGGUAUUUGUCAUCUGUAAAAAGGGAGCCGUUGUUGCUGAUAUAUCCACAGGCCAGGGAACCAGAAGAAUGACAAGGUUCAAAAAGGUGACUGGCCAGGGGCAGCACGGGAGGGGCAGAGAUCAAAUUCAAACGCAGCUUCCCAACAAAAAUCUUUUUGCUCCCCCCAGCCUCGGAGGCGGAGGCGGCUCCUCAUGGCGCCAGGUGGUGCAGAGCGCCUUGGGAAGGGUGGGAUCUGUCCCAAAGAGGCAUCUGGAAAGUCAACAGAGCCAGCCGGUCUGGGACUAAACAAUCAGCAGCCGACGCGGCGUCCGCGGGGACAGAACAGCUAUUCAGACGGCGGGGGCGGGAGCGGGGGCCCAGCCGCGAAAUGUGGAGAAAGAAGCGCCUCGCACGCGUCCGCUCCGGGCCCACGCGGGUUGCCAUGGCCGCCCCGCCCCGGGCCGCGCGCGGAAUCCCGGCCUCUGGGGGCCUCGGCCGCCGGGCGUCCCCGGCUUCCUGGUCCGGUCACGUCCAGGAAGGACGAGGGGCACGUGGCGCGGACCGGCGUCCCGCGGGCAGCGGCCCCGCUCCGCGUCUGCCGGCGCCGCGUCCGGGACACGCGACACCCCGCGGGGCUGCGCCGGGCCGCGGCGGGGCGGGCCAGGGGAGCCCCGCGACCGGGACCGGCGCCCAGGUCCCUGCGGCGCCCGCCACACCCGCGUCCCGCCGCGCCCGGGACUCGGAGCUCCGCGUCCCUGCCACGCCCGUGACCCAGUGGCCGCGGGUCCGCCUCGUCCCUGACCCGAGGGUCCGCGUCUGGCUCGCAGUCGGGGUGCACGGCCUCCCACUGACCUCCUUUUCCAGCUCCGGACACUUGCUCAACUGAGAGUUCACCACCUGGGCCCGAAGCAGGGGAGGCGGCCCAAACCACCGGCCGGGGUCCGAGAGCGGUUCCCCUGCGCUCGGCUAGCGCUCCGACCCCAGCCCGGGGAGGAGCCAAUGGAGGAGCCAUGGGAGGGCAGCCUCUGGGGGAGGAGGGUGCAGAGCACCUAGGAGGCACCUGUGCGUUUUCCUGAUGAAGGAACCUUGGCGCAGAGGGAGGGGGAGGGAGAGGGGGCUGACUGGUUCAAGGUCAAGGUCCCACUGUAAGUUACAGCACCGCCGGGCCUGGAGCGCACGUUUCUGUCCGCCCAGCCCAGUGCCCUUUGUCCACACUCCCAUCCCCCGCCCGCCUGGAAUGAAACCACAUCCCCCUGGGGCUAAGGACAGCCAGGCUGUUUGCCAGCAGUGGUUUGGCUAGCGCAGGGACAUGCCAGAGAAAUGGAAGGUUUCUAAUAAAAGCUGUCUCCACAGGCCCGGAGUGUUAUAAGGCGCUCGCCCACCGGCUCCACAAACCACCUGCGCAGCCUUCCCCAACACUGGCAGCCUGGCAGCUCCAGGGGGACAGGCCUCCCCGCAGCGCUCCAACCCCACCCUGUGGUGUUUUCCCUUCUGGCACCUGGAAGGGGCAGACGUGUCCGGAGCCCGGUUUGACCUCUACAGCUGGGGGUUUUCCCUCCCUUCUCUACCUGGGUAGCGCUCGGGGCUGGGACAGCAGGAUGGGUGGUGGAUUUGAUUUUCCUGCUAUCUUAUACCUCUAGGUGAGGUUCUUCCAUGCGACCCACAGGCAGUUCUCAAACUGUGUCCCAUGGUUAUAUUUAGACAUCCCUUCAUUCUCAGUCUUCAUGGAGGGCUAAUGUAGACGUUAUCCAAACACACAAUGACAGUGUUUGAAACCACACCGAGGAGGACCCUCUGCUUAAAAGUCCACAUCACACGUAGCUUUGCCUAGAUGCCGGCCCUGCCCCCCAACAGUCCAGCGAGAACGCGGCCAGCUGCGGCUCCUGUGGUAGAUUGCAGACCUCCGCCUGGCCCAGGCUUUCUUCGGUCAGGAGAACCCAGAGGCGGAACCGAGGCCAGCUGAGAAGAUGGAUCACCGUCCACCUGUGUGUGCUGUAAUCGGACUUAUUGGGUCACUGUUUCUAUCACCUGGAGAUGACUUACUGAGGAGGCUGGAGACCUGAGUUCCCAGCUGCCUGCGGUGAGGCACCCAGAGCAGCAUGCCUUGACUCAGCAUCCAUCAGCAAGACGGGAUCUGCCUGGGCAGUAGGGGGAGGGACUGAGAGACAGCCCUCCAGGCAGACAGCAAUGAAGAUGCAAAUCCUUCAAAACCUUAGGUUGACUGGGAGGGACAACAGGGCGCAGUGGUUCCAUUUGUCCUAGGCACAAUGCCUGGCCCCUGGGAUGCUCAGAGGGUGCAAAUGUCUUCGCACAACACAAACCCAACUCAGAAUGACAACUUGCUGCAUGAAGCAUGCAGUUAAUUACAGAGUGACUAUCCAGUAAAGAUGAAGUUGGAAAAAAAUAAGUGAAGUUGAAACCUAUUGCUCUUUUUCUUUAUUAAUCU